rnacentral:lncRNA from 1 species
GAGGAGGAGGAGGAGGGCGGAUGGGGAGGCCGGGACAGACCGCCCCCCAGGAGGAGGAGGAGGGAAUACGAGACAGACACGGAGGAGGAGAGGAGCAGGAGGAGGGCGAGGCACGAAGCGGACAGGGGCCGGGAGGGGUUGGCCAGCUCCUCUUCCAUCUGGGGUCACGGGUCGCCCCGGAAGGGGCUCUGCUGAAGGAGGAGGAAGGCAUGGAGCUGGUGGAGGUCUUCCGGGCGUCGCCAGUGGCCACCGGCGGGGGGCUCUCCUUGGCCAUCCACCAGGGGGCGCUAGCAGCAGCAGCCUUGAUGGGAGCUUCCCUGGGGGAGUCGUCCGAGGACCAGGAGCAGAUCGUCUUCGAGCUGGGCUCCGUGACCACCAGCGUGGAGGUGGUGAAGGUCGAGGAGGGCGAGGAAGAGGAGGGAGGGCGGAGGUCUCAGGCGUCCGUCCUGCUGGAGGGCUUCUUUCCUCCUCCUCCUCCCGGGAGCGAGGGAGAGGAAGAGGAGGAGCGGGCGAGCGCGGGGCGACAGUCGGGGAGACAGGUGGCGUCUCUCCUGGAUUUUGGGGUGCAGGUGGGCCCCGCGGACGGAGAAGUGAGCCUGAUCGAAGCCCUGGGGGGGCGGGUGAUCAAGGUGGAGGAGGUGCCCCCCUCCGAACUGCAGCCCGGCGGCGACACCCCGCCUGGCAGCCAGCAGCAGGAGGAGAGCCCCGAGGAAGAGGGGGGCGCGGAGGGGGUCCGUGUGUUCCUGGUGAAGGAGGAGGACCCCCUGAUUUUGGAUGAGGAGCCCGCCUGCCAAGAGCACCCCGGACACCCCAGGGACACGGGUGCAGCUGGUUAGUUUGGGUCUGCUGGUGAAGAGGCGCAGUGUGAUUUGGCUGCUCAUUGGUCCAGGUCAGAUGGGUG